GGGAAGUCGGGGACGGCAGGCGCGGCAAUAGGGAGGGGGAAGGCGGUGGUCGGAGUUAUUGGGCGUAAAGAGCGUGUAGGCGGCCAUGUAGGUCCGGUGUGAAAACUCGAGGCUCAACCUCGAGACGCCGGUGGAAACCAUGUGGCUAGAGUCCGGAAGAGGAGAGUGGAAUUCCUGGUGUAGCGGUGAAAUGCGCAGAUAUCAGGAAGAACACCCGUGGCUAAGGCGGCUCUCUAGUACGGUACUGACGCUGAGACGCGAAAGCGUGGGGAGCAAACAGGAUUAGAUACCCUUGUAGUC
rnacentral:rRNA from 1 species